rnacentral:lncRNA from 1 species
CCCGCUCUGGACUGGGCGCCAGUCCCGCUCCGCGCGGCGCUGCUCCGCUACCGCUCCCGCUCGCCUUGGGCUCCGGCUUCGGCUCCGGAGGCGUCGCCUCCCCAGCUACCGGUCUCCAGGACCCAGGCGGCGGCGCCCCAGCCAUGGCCCGAGCUCAGGCUCUGGUCCUGGCGCUCACCUUCCAGUUCUGCGCGCCCGAGACCGAGACUCCCGCAGCUGGCUGCACCUUCGAGGAGGCGAGUGACCCGGUUGUGCCCUGCGAGUUCAGCCAGGCUCAGUAUGAUGACUUCCAGUGGGAGCAAGUACGGAUCCACCCUGGCACCCGGACCCCUGCAGACCUGCCCCAUGGUGCCUACUUGAUGGUUAAUGCUUCCCAGCAUGCUCCAGGCCAGAG